rnacentral:rRNA from 1 species
CCUACGGGAGGCAGCAGUGGGGGAUAUUGCACAAUGGGGGGAACCCUGAUGCAGCGACGCCGCGUGGGUGAAGAAGCGCCUCGGCGCGUAAAGCCCUGUCAGCAGGGAAGAAAAUGACGGUACCUGAAGAAGAAGCCCCGGCUAACUACGUGCCAGCAGCCGCGGGAAUACGUAGGGGGCAAGCGUUAUCCGGAUUUACUGGGUGUAAAGGGGGCGCAGACGGCGAUGCAAGCCAGGAGUGAAAGCCCGGGGCCCAACCCCAGGACUGCUCUUGGAACUGCGUGGCUGGAGUGCAGGAGGGGCAGGCGGAAUUCCUGGUGUAGCGGUGAAAUGCGUAGAUAUCAGGAGGAACACCGGUGGCGAAGGCGGCCUGCUGGACUGCAACUGACGUUGAGGCCCGAAAGCGUGGGGAGCAAACAGGAUUAGAUACCCCGGUAGUC